GUAGGUGGCAAGCGUUGUCCGGAAUUAUUGGGCGUAAAGCGCGCGCAGGCGGGGUCCUUUAAGUCUGAUGUGAAAGCCCACGGGCUCAACCGUGGAGGGUCAUUGGAAACUGGGGGACUUGAGUACAGAAGAGGAAAGCGGAAUUCCAAGUGUAGCGGCGAAAUGCGUAGAGAUUUGGAGGAACACCAGUGGCGAAGGCGGCUUUCUGGUCUGUAACUGACGCUGAGGCGCGAAAGCGUGGGGAGCAAACAGGAUUAGAUACCCUGGUAGUCCACGCCGUAAACGAUGAGUGCUAAGUGUUAGGGGGUUUCCGCCCCUUAGUGCUGCAGCUAACGCAUUAAGCACUCCGCCUGGGGAGUACGGCCGCAAAGGCUG
rnacentral:rRNA from 1 species